CCGGAAACGGGUAGGCGUAAUACCGCAUAGUUUCUUUGAUCGCAUGAUUGAGGAAAGGAAAGACGGCCUUUUGUGCUGUCGCUUUAGUGGAUGGAACCCCGCGGCGUAUUAGUUAGUUGGUGAGGUAACGGCUCACCAAGACGAUGAUACGUAGCCGACCUGAGAGGGUGAUCGGCCACAUUGGGACUGAGACACGGCCCAAACUCCUACGGGAGGCAGCAGUAGGGAAUCUUCCGCAAUGGACGAAAGUCUGACGGAGCAACGCCGCGUGAGUGAAAAGAAGGUUUUCGGAUACGUAAAACUCUGUUGUCAGAGAAGAACAAGUUGGAGAGUAACUGCUCCAGCCUUGACGGUAUCUGACCAGAAAGCCACGGCUAACUACGUGCCAGCCGCGGC
rnacentral:rRNA from 1 species